rnacentral:rRNA from 1 species
GAAACUUAGGCCAUAAAUGACGCUUAGGCUUGAAAGUGUGGGGAGCAAAUGGGAUUAGAUACCCCAGUAGUCCACACCGUAAACGAUGGGUAUUAGAUAUUAGGGCUUUAGCUUUAGUGUUGUAGCUUACGCGUUAAAUACCCCGCCUGGGUAGUACAUAUGCAAAUAUGAAACUCAAAGGAAUUGACGGGGACCUGAACAAGUGGUGGAGCAUGUUGCUUAAUUCGAUAAUACACGAAAAACCUUACCAAGGUUUGACAUCCCUCGCAAAGCUAUAGAAAUAUAGUAGAGGUUAUCGAGGUGACAGGU